AGUGAACGCUGGCGGUAGGCCUAACACAUGCAAGUCGAACGGCAGCACAGUAAGAGCUUGCUCUUACGGGUGGCGAGUGGCGGACGGGUGAGGAAUACAUCGGAAUCUACUUUUUCGUGGGGGAUAACGUAGGGAAACUUACGCUAAUACCGCAUACGACCUACGGGUGAAAGCAGGGGAUCUUCGGACCUUGCGCGAUUGAAUGAGCCGAUGUCGGAUUAGCUAGUUGGCGGGGUAAAGGCCCACCAAGGCGACGAUCCGUAGCUGGUCUGAGAGGAUGGUCAGGCAGCCUGGAAGUGUGACGCGCACUAGCCUCCUACGUGAGGCAGCAGUGCGGAGUAUUUGAACAUGGGCGCAAGCUUGAUCCACCCAUUCCGCGUGAGUGAAAAGGGCCUUCUUGUUGUAAAGCCCUUCUGUUGGUAAAGAAAAACAGCGCGUCAAUACCCCUCGGUUCUGCCGGCACCCAAAGAGUAAGCACCGCCUAACUUCGUG
rnacentral:rRNA from 1 species